UACGGAGGGGGCUAGCGUUGUUCGGAAUUACUGGGGCGUAAAGGGCGCGUAGGCGGCCACCGCAAGUCGACUGUGGAAAUCUCCGGGCUUAACCUGGGAAUUGCGCUUGAAACUAGCGGGCUUGAGGUGGACGGCAGAGGGGGGUGGAAUUCCACGUGUAAGCAGUGAAAUGCGUAGAGAUGUGGAGGAACACCGAUGGCGAAGGCAGCCCCCUGGGUCAAGAUUGACGCUCAUGCACGAAAGCGUGGGGAGCAAACA
rnacentral:rRNA from 1 species